rnacentral:rRNA from 1 species
AACGAACGCUGGCGGCAUGCCUAACACAUGCAAGUCGAACGAGACCUUCGGGUCUAGUGGCGCACGGGUGCGCAACGCGUGGGAACCUGCCCUUAGGUUCGGAAUAACUCCCCGAAAGGGGUGCUAAUACCGGAUAAUGUCUUCGGACCAAAGAUUUAUCGCCUUUGGAUGGGCCCGCGUUGGAUUAGCUAGUUGGUAGGGUAAAAGCCUACCAAGGCGACGAUCCAUAGCUGGUCUGAGAGGAUGAUCAGCCACGCUGGGACUGAGACACGGCCCAGACUCCUACGGGAGGCAGCAGUGGGGAAUAUUGGACAAUGGGCGAAAGCCUGAUCCAGCAAUGCCGCGUGAGUGAUGAAGGCCUUAGGGUUGUAAAGCUCUUUUACCCGGGAUGAUAAUGACAGUACCGGGAGAAUAAGCGCCGGCUAACUCCGUG